rnacentral:lncRNA from 1 species
AGAGGAAGCAGCAAGGCUGGGCCUUGAAGAACGUGAAGGAGUCACCCAGCUAGAGAGGGCAGGAGGGUGUUCCACGAAGUACAAACAUCAUGAACAGAAAGUCAAAGAGUGAAAGUGAAGGGAGGAUUGGGGAGCAGUGAACAGACAAUGUGAGAGAGCUGCGGCACCAUGGAGAAGAGUAAUGAGAGGGACAUCCUGAAGGAAAGACAAUAUGAAGGACUGUCGAUGCCAAAGAAAGGACUUUCAGCCAUAUGCACGCAAUGGGGAGCAAUGCAAGAUUGUCAACCAAGAGACUGAGGUGACCAGAUCUGCUUCACAGCAGCAGCAGCAGCAGUGUACAUGGAAGAUUAGAGGACCGAGAGAGAUGCAUGUCAGGAAAAUCAGCUAACAGACUCUAAAAUAACUAAGACUUGAGAAAGAUCUGGAUCAAAGCUUUAACAGCAGCAAUAAAGAAAAAAGAAGAGACAUUUCUGUAAUCAGAUCUAGAAAAGUUGAUGACCCCCAGGAUAACAGCCAUGAAAGUGCUGCUACCACAAACAUGAGGAAACUUCUGUUAGGAGUUCAACCUUCAGAGAGGACAGCUGGCAGUGCAAGAUGGUGACAGCCCUGCAAUCAGGAGAAGAAAGUCAUGAGACCUGUUUCUCCAGGUUUCCCGCCUCCUUCCACCUUCUGUACAGGACACACCAGUUCCCUCAAGCCCAAAAUGUGAGCAGCUGUCAUUCU